rnacentral:rRNA from 1 species
AGAUUGAACGCUGGCGGCAGGCCUAACACAUGCAAGUUGAGCGGUAGAGAGGUGCUUGCAUCUCUUGAGAGCGGCGGACGGGUGAGUAAUGCCUAGGAAUCUGCCUAGUGGUGGGGGAUAACGUUCGGAAACGGACGCUAAUACCGCGUACGUCCUACGGGAGAAAGCGGGGGACCUUCGGGCCUCGCGCCAUUAGAUGAGCCUAGGUCGGAUUAGCUAGUUGGUGAGGUAAUGGCUCACCAAGGCGACGAUCCGUAACUGGUCUGAGAGGAUGAUCAGUCACACUGGAACUGAGACACGGUCCAGACUCCUACGGGAGGCAGCAGUGGGGAAUAUUGGACAAUGGGCGAAAGCCUGAUCCAGCCAUGCCGCGUGUGUGAAGAAGGUCUUCGGAUUGUAAAGCACUUUAAGUUGGAGAAGGUUGUAACUUAAUACGUUGACAAUUUGACGUUACCGACAGAAUAAGCACGGCUAACUCGUGCCAGCAGCCGUACG